AUUGGCUUGGCAGAAAUUAAAUGCGCCUGAUUUAGGAUCAGUCUAUAAUAUGUUAUAUUAGUCGUUA
rnacentral:tRNA from 1 species